AACCUGAUGGGCUUUUUGAUACUCUUGUUGUAUUUGAAUAGAAGGCAGGCUCAUAACUCGUUCUCCCUGUAGUUGGUUCAAAAUCCAACUGUAUUGCCCACUGAGUAUAUAUAUAUAUAUAAUUUGUUCUUCCCUCCUAAUCCGACUUUAUUGCCCAUCGAGUGCAUUUAUAUGUAGACCAUCAGAGCUUCCAGCAAUUGCAUGUGGCUGGACCACAACGAGGUGACACGUUGAAGCAGCCUCUUGCUUGUCACGAUUGACCAACGUGAUGCAGUAAGGAACCCCGUGGCACAGAGCCUAGCCACUCCUCUCCAUCACCUGUGCAGCCUUCUACCGGUUGCAGAGAAGCCAUUAAUCUGUCUCAUGAUUUUGGUGAGAGUUUGAGAGCGGGGUGAGGUGAGAGAGAAAGGGAUGGAAUGGGUGGGUAAGGAAGAGGCAGAGAUUGAGGGUAGGUGAAGGGUAUUUAAAUCUUUUCUUCUUUUCCUUUUAAUUUUAAAAUAUGUUAAAUUAAUUUUUUAACUGGAAAACCGGUUAUUAUAAGUUAAAGGGACUUUUAUGUUUAUUAAAUUAAUAUUGAAGGAGUUUUAUGUUACAAAUUAAAGCUUAAGGACUAAACUUUCACAACGCUUUAAGUACAGGGACAACAAGUGAAAUUUAUCCGCUUAUUAAUAAAUAAAAAUAGAUGCUAGUAGGUCAUCUAAUUUUGUGAAAUUUAAAAUAGUUGCAAUAAUAUGGGAGUUGCCUUAAUGGUAGUAGUAGUAGUAAAUUGAGAGGGAACAUAGAAGAGAGAGAAAGAG
rnacentral:misc_RNA from 1 species